ACAUAUUCAUCGGCCUUUUGGCUAAGAUCAGGUGUAGUAUCUGUUCUUAUCAGUUUAAUAUCUGAUGCAUCCUCUAUUUGAGGACUAUAUAUUAAAUGGAUUUUUGGGAUAUUGAUGGAGAUUCACAUUUGUCAAAGGGAUAUGUGCCCAGAGUAU
ensembl:snRNA U2 U2 spliceosomal RNA